rnacentral:rRNA from 1 species
UACGUAGGGUGCGAGCGUUAAUCGGAAUUACUGGGCGUAAAGCGUGCGCAGGCGGUUCGUCGUGUCCGAUGUGAAAGCCCCGGGCUCAACCUGGGAAUGGCAUUGGAAACUGGCGGACUCGAGUGUGGCAGAGGGGGUGGAAUUCCGCGUGUAGCAGUGAAAUGCGUAGAGAUGUGGAGGAACACCGAUGGCGAAGGCAGCCCCCUGGGUCAAGACUGACGCUCAUGCACGAAAGCGUGGGGAGCAAACAGG